UACGAGGGGGGCGAGCGUUGUUCGGAAUUAUUGGGCGUAAAGGGUGCGUAGGCGGUUUGGUAAGUCUUGUGUGAAAUCUUCGGGCUCAACUCGAAGUCUGCACGAGAAACUGCCGGGCUUGAGUAUGGGAGAGGUGAGUGGAAUUCCCGGUGUAGUGGUGAAAUGCGUAGAUAUCGGGAGGAACACCAGUGGCGAAGGCGGUUAGCUGGCCUGUAACUGACACUGAGGCGCGAAGGCUAGGGGAGCGAACAGG
rnacentral:rRNA from 1 species